GGUGGUUUGCCCGAGAGGUUAAGGGGUUGGACUUGAAAUCCAAUGGGCCUCGCCCGCGCAGGUUCGAGCCCUGCAGCCGCCG
rfam:Vitrella brassicaformis CCMP3155 genome assembly, contig: scaffold148